rnacentral:rRNA from 1 species
CUAGUAACGGCGAGUGAAGAGGGAAGAGCCCAAGAUUGAAGCUGGCGCCUUCGGCGUCCGCAUUGUAAUCUCAAGAAGUGUUUUCCGCUUCGGACCGAGCCUAAGUCCCUUGGAAAAGGGCAUCGUAGAGGGUGAGAAUCCCGUACAUGGCUCGGAGCGCCCGAGGCUUUGUGAUACACUCUCAAAGAGUCGAGUUGUUUGGGAAUGCAGCUCAAAAUGGGUGGUAAAUGCCAUCUAAGGCUAAAUAUUGGGGAGAGACCGAUAGCGAACAAGUACCGUGAGGGAAAGAUGAAAAGAACUUUGAAAAGAGAGUUAAACAGUACGUGAAAUUGCCAAAAGGGAAGGGUAGGAGGUCAGAGAUGCGGUCUGGGAUUCAGCCUUGCUUUAGCUUGGUGUUUUUCCCAGUUUGCAGGCCAACGUCGGUUUUGGGCGCUGGAGAAGGGUGGGAGGAACGUGGCACCCCUCGGGGUGUGUUAUAGCCUCCUACUGGAUACAGUGACCGGGACCGAGGACAGCAGCGUACUCGCAAGAGCGGGCCUUCGGGCACCUUUACGCUUAGGGCGUUGG